CCACAAGUUUCCUACGUUAAAAAAUGUUCCGAUCGAUCACGUAGGGCUACGCAUCGACAUGAAUUCCAAGAGUCUCACGUCUGUCGAGGAUUGCUUCCGUCCUAGGUUUUCCUUCCUAUAUAUAUGUCGUCCAGGAAGAGAACCGAACAAGCAUCGAGAACUCCCAUCGCCGCCGCCGCCGCCGCCGCGAGAAAACCAGAGAAGGAAAGGGGAAGCCGCCAAGGGCCAUCUCUCGACGCAUCUGGAUUUGGCUGCAAUGUUCGUCAAGGAUGCAUGGCGCACCGUGAGCACGACCUCGCCGGCGGCGGUCGACUGGUGGAGUAGUCGAUGGCAGGUGCGGGGUGCAUGCCUCGGUUUCCCUUCUACUCUUCUUGCCGAUGUGGACGUGGACUUGCUGGUCUCAUGGUCAUGGACUUCAAAGUUGGAGUGGAGUUUGCUGCUGUUGAUCUGUUCUGUUAUGGAGCUAAAGGAGAUUGCAAUAUGCGUAUGACUGUAAUAGCGUGGAGAUGACUGCUUCAAGUUUUCUGCUUUCAUGUUCCAGAUCAGCUCUACGGUUCGGUUCUAAUUUUUUGGGCCUGCUUGGUGAUUGGAUCUGGCUGUGAAGCUCGCCAUGAUGCUCGGGUGUGCUUAAUUAGGUCUGUUGUGUGGUAGCUACUACUGCUGGCCAUGAGGGAUUAUUAGCUGAUUUUGUAUUGCUAAUCGGCGUAUUGUUCUUUUGCAAUAUUUACAACCACAAUCUCAUGAGUUGUUGCUCACGCCUUCUUAGUCCGCGGCGCUGAAAUAGGCCACCAGGAACAGGAGAACGGCAAGGUAGAUGGGGGAAGGAGAGGAGUUGAUGAGCUAACGACCUGUCAGCGGACCCAGAGUUCCGACUAUAGAGCAGAGGAAUUUUUCUUAGUGUUGAUUCGGUACUACGAUAAAUACUGUGUAUGCAAUCAAAAUUCUCCCAUCGGAGCCAACGGAAUUCAGUAAUCUUUUUCCCAUCUUUUUCAAUGUAUUGCAAAUUAUUGUGAUUAAUAUAUGUGCUCCUAUUAUUUCAUAAAAAAUCAA